GGUGACAUGGCCAAGUGGUAAGGCAGGAGACUGCAAAUCUCCCAUCCCCAGUUCGAAUCUGGGUGUCGCCU
rnacentral:tRNA from 3 species